GCUGAUAUCACACAAAAAAAAGGGAGGGGGGGGGGGCAUUUUAUAACAUAAUCAUUAUAAAAUUGCAUGCAAUUUGCAGGUGAUCGAGUGAUGCUAACAUGAGUGAAGGUACAUGAGUGUGCAUAACAAUUUUGAAUCAUUAUUUGUGCUGCAUUCUCAGCGAUUAGGUUAUGAUUCUGGUCACCUAAGAUGUGCAAGUGCUGUUGCUGUGAUUGUUAUGGGUGUGAAGUUUCUUAUAAGUCAUUUCCAUUCUUGUUAGACUAGUUAAAUCCAUUAAAGUUGUAUUAGGGUGGCUCAUUAGCCCAAUAAACCCUCAACUUUCAAUAUGAGGGAAGAUGGCACUUGAGUCACUCAACUGUUCUGCCUUGGUUACUGACAAAGUGACCGUUCAUUCAAUUUGAAUUUAUUGGUUCAUAGUAGUUAAAAUAAUUUAAAUCAUUCCAUGUAUCUAUCUAUGUAUCUAUAUGAAGCAGUGUAAUGGUAGCUACUUUCUGCCAGAAUUUGAGGUUGAAUGUUGGAGACAAACCCUCAGAUCUUGAUCCAUACCAGGCAAUGAAAAUAAGCAAUGCUAAUGGCUCAGUUGGUCACUCUUGUACUACUCGAGCUUCUCCAACUUGUCAAAGGGAAGAAGGUGUUGUAAGCCCACUCACAAGCGUUGAUGAAAGUCAAGGCUGGCCAUGCAACUGCUAACAUCACCCAGCUUGCUGGUGGUACCACCAAAUUCAUCACUGAGUUUAUCAAAUCCAUUCUUAAUCUGCAA